rnacentral:rRNA from 1 species
UACGUAGGGGGGCGAGCGUUGUCCGGAUUUUAUUGGGCGUAAAGAGCGUGUAGGCGGCCAGGUAGGUCUGCUGUGAAAAACUCGAGGCUCAACCUCGAGAUGUCGGCGGAAACCACUUGGCUAGAGUCCGGAAGAGGAGAGUGGAAUUCCUGGUGUAGCGGUGAAAUGCGCAGAUAUCAGGAAGAACACCUAUGGCGAAGGCAGCUCUCUGGGACGGUACUGACGCUGAGACGCGAAAGCGUGGGAGCGAACAGG